rnacentral:rRNA from 1 species
GACGAACGCUGGCGGCGUGCUUAACACAUGCAAGUCGUACGGUAAGGCCCUUUCGGGGGUCCACGAGUGGCGAACGGGUGAGUAACACGUGAGUAACCUGCCCACAACUUUGGGAUAACGCUAGGAAACUGGUGCUAAUACUGGAUAUGUACUACUGCUGCAUGGUGGGGGUUGGAAAGCUCCGGCGGUUGUGGAUGGACUCGCGGCCUUUCAGCUUGUUGGUGGGGUAGUGGCCUACCAAGGCGGCGACGGGUAGCCGGCCUGGGAGGGUGACCGGCCACAAUGGGACUGGGGUACGGCCCAGACCCCUACGGGGGGCAGCAGGGGGGAAUAUUUCCAAAUGGGCGCAAGCCCGGUGCAGCAACGCCGCGGGCGGGAUGACGGGCCUCGGGUUGUAAACCGCUUUCAGCAGGGACGAAGCUUUGUGUGACGGUACCUGCAGAAGAAGCACCGGCUAACUACGUG